AGUUCACUAGCACCGUGUGCCUUUCUCGUAGUGUUGUCAUCUCGCCAUUACGAUCUCCCAGCUCAGUCGCUUGUCCUGGUAUCGCCCUGCCACGACCAUCGCCCUCUCCAACAGCCCUACUUUUUUUGCCUUCUUCCCGCCCUUUUCCCGAGUGCGUGCGCUGUCGCUGUUGUCUCUGUUCCCUGGCUAUCCAUCAUCCAUCCGCACUCUUAGACCCACAUACGCCAGCAUCCCACCUCCUCCUCCGUCUCGCCUUUCCACCUUCCCUCAAGCCAGACACAGGAAGCAAACAAGGAGAGAGAGCACACCCCGCCCACGCGAGCGUAAUCCGCAUACCCACAAAACAGCAAACAAACAAAUAACCGGAUCGACAGCGACCACAGAAGAAAAUACAACGAAAAAAAGAAGUAACGAAGAAGCGCUGAUCAAGCCUGCUUUCACGCUACUCCAACGCUGUCUCUUGGUUAAAACCUUUGCCGCUUCCUUCUCUCUCCUUUUAAGUUUUUUUUUUCCUGUUUUCCUUGCUGUGUGUGUGUGUGUGUCUUUUUCGAUUCUCUCUACCUUGUUUGUUCUCCCUACUUCCCUCCCUCCACUUGCUGUGUUUCUCUCUCUGUGUGUGUGUGCGUGUGUGUGCAUUUCUGUGUGUCUUGUUUGUUUGUUAUCUGAGCACUUUCGCCUCCACCUCUUCGUCUCUUGUUUUUUCCCCCUUUUUCAUCUCUGCCCAUCACACAGAGCGCGUGUGUGACCCCACUCUCCCCGUUUUCUCGGAGUUGUCUUCUUUUUUUUUGUAGGUUCAAUCCCGACCUCCCGUCUUGAAACUGAAAGAACACAAAGAAAAGCAGCAGGGAAGGGGAACUCUAUCUAAACUCUGCCUGUUUCCCUCGCUGUUUUCACACGGGUGUGCCCUUGCUUUCUUAAACGUUUUUGCGCUGCUCUUCGUUUCCGUCUCUUUCUCUCUCUCUCCCCCUGAUUCUCCGGUUUGUGUGUGCUCGUGCGUUUGUGUUUUUCUCUGUCUCGCUUCUCUCUCACCUGCGCCCAUCGAAGCAUCCUUGCAUGUGCUUCCACCUGGGUGCUUCCUGGGUAGGCGACAAACUGCAGCCGCUGCUUUUUCUUUGUGCACGAGCAUUCCGCGCGUCUAUAUUUUAGCCCCGAAACCUUUUCGCCUCCUGCUCCUCUCUUUUUUUUUGUUAGGCUUACUUUUCUCCUCCUCUCUUCCUGCGCGUUGAGUGCCUUUCUUUUCCUGUUUUAUGUUUUGCGUAGGCUCGUGGAGUUCGCAAGAAGAUCAAAGAAAAAAUAAGAUCAGUGAGCUCAGCGAAAAGAGACAGAAAGUGUACUUUUACGAACCCUCGCGAGCAUUACGCAGCACCAUCAUCAUUGUCAUCGCUUACUCGCACACACACCAUCACUCACGCACGUCCACGUCUGCGACGGACGCACACAACAGGAUUGAGAGGGGUGUAUUCCAGCCUCUUUCUCUAUUCUUCCAUUCUUCGCUUUAUUUUCCCAUUUCUCGCGUCUAGCUGUACCGUUGACCUCGUGAGCACUUCUUCACCGACUCCUCUUCUCUCACCUUCAUAUAGAUAUACAUAUAUUUAUAUAUUCUGAGGUGAGGGUCGGCCAGGGCACCUUUUUUUUCUCGAAAGUGGGCGUCUUGUUUCUCCUACCUGCUUCACUGCACCGCACCGCACCGCCGCCGCCUCUCCCCGUUCGCCCACCAUCUUCUCCCUCUUCACGUAUUCGACUCCGACGUAAGUGGAGACACUUUCACUAUCUUCCCACCGUUUUUGCUCACAUCCCCUCCCUUCUUCCUGCCAAUUCGAGGGACACACCCCGUGAGAGCCACCAAUCCGCACAAGACAACAUCCACCACGAAAAACACACGAGAAGGGCGAAGAUUACGAAGAAAAGAAAGCACGCAGGGGGUUUUUCACACACCUCGGCCUUCUCUCCCCUCCCCUUCUCCGCCGCUCCCUCUCUUUCUCCUCGCUUUCUCUGUGCCUUGUGGAUUGUCCCUCCGACACCCACCCACGUCCCACGCCUCGCUCCACCGACGCAUCUGCGCGGCCGGCUGCCGUUGAGACUUCCAUCUGUCUCUCUCCAACCUUCUCGCUGUGUUUGUUUGUGUGCCGGUAUUCGAGACAGUUCCCGAGUGAUUACAAGGUUUGCUUCUUCACCCGCUCUCCUCCCCCUUUCUUUUGUCUCGCCUGUUCUUCCGGUCUUUCCUUUCUUAUCACCUCCUUCCUUUCUCUUUACCUCCCUCCCCCUUUUGUUGUUGCCUGUCCGUCUUGUCUUUUUUUCACACACACACACAUAUAUAUAUAUAUUUCGGUUUCGUCGAAUCGAUACUGCGAGUAGCCCCAUUAGUUCAUCCUUGCGGAUUCACUCAUCAGGAGGUUUUGUGUUUCUUCUCUACGCGCGCCCCCCCCUUCCCGUUUUCUUUUGCCCUUUUUUCUGUUGCUCUCGUUUUCAGCCAAAUACGUUACCUUUUGCCGUUCUAUUGGUUGAUCUUUAUAUAUUAUUUUUUUCGUUGUCUGGCCCUCCUUCCCCCUGUCUUCCUCAUCCGCCCCUCCCCCUCCUCUUCCUCCCUCUAACAAGCAAGUUGACGGGGAGAGUAACGCAAGCAAACACCCCCCCCCCCACACACACACACACACACCACAUCAGAUCCCAUUACAUCCACGCAGAGCCAUACACAAAAUACAUACAUAUAUAUCUCUAUAUACAAAAGAUACGGACCCCCACACACGUUGAACAACCGGAAAGCGUCAAAAAAAGGAACGGAAAGAAGGAGCGGCUUUAACGAUAAACGCAAAAAAAAGGAAAACAAAAAGAGAACCGACAGUAAGGGAAAACAUCCAAUCGCGAAGACGGCGGCGACGGCGACGACAAUACAACGAGAGAGGGAGAGAGAGAACAGAGGGCGCACCACCGAACACACGAGGGUGGGCGGCGGCGGCGAGGGAAACAACAACAGACAAAAAACAAUCGAAAAGCAGUAAAGUCAAAGAAGGGCCAACUGCUGAGUGCAAACGCAAAACAACAACAGAAAGGAAAGAGCAAGAAGAGCUGUUUUUUUUUUUAAUAUUUCCUGCAGCUGCUUCUCUUGUUUACCCCUUCUUUCGCUCUCCUCUUUCUCUGACAAACAACGCUUCUAUCUCCGUGGUUGUGAUAGCAGCCGAAUCUCUUCCGCUGCGUUGUUUUUCUUUCGUGUGUCGCCGCCUCUGACCUGUCUCUGUCUGUCUGUGCGUUCUUUUUUCUUGGUUGUGUAUAUAUAUUUUUCUUUGUGUCUGGCUCUUCUCUGCUCGCCUUCAAGCUCAGCACCGUUUUUUGACUUUGGCUUGUACGGGAGUGUUAGGAGAGAGGGGAACCGAACAGAUAAAAGAGAGCGAAUCAUUGCUUGUGCUGUCACUUGUGCCUACAUUUAUUUUUUUGCGAGGGAUUUCCUCUCGAUUCUUCUUUCCUAGUCGCUGCGCAGACCAUCGGACAUAUAUAUAGGAACAGGGCUUGCAUGAGAAAGAAAAAAAACACCAAAGAGCAAGGAUCACCCCACCUCUACCUUCAUCUCUCUUUUUGUUGGUUUACUUCUACACUACUCUGCCCUUCCUCCCCCCUCUUUCUCUGUCUCUCUUCACCAUCGUCAGCAGCAGCAUCUGCGCUGGUAUUUUGCUCCUUUUCUUUGCUCUUUCUUGCGCCUCCUGGUUUCCGGUUUUCCAAUUGUGUGCCUGCGUGUGUGCAGUUAUUCUUCCCCGCCCCCCCCCCUGUCGCUCCCUUCCUCCCUCCCUCCCUCCCUCCCUCUGCCGCGAGCACACGAACACCGCUGUACCCUAUCUAGCCCACUUUGCCCCUCUCCUCCGGCUUCUCUUUCCUUCUCUGUACCUCAUUGCCUUCCUCCACACCCACGCUGGGUUCGAGUUUUACUUUGUCUCGUGCACGCGUACCAGAGCGAAUUGAGGGAGGUACAGAGCCAGCAAGCAAGAAGGCAGAAAACAGGUGUGAGAUACCUUUUUGCGGAAACACAAAGAUAUACUGAGACAGCUCUCUCUCUCUCUCUCUUUUCCUCUUCUCUGGCCUUCCUCUCUUCUGUGUUGUGGCUUUCUUUUUGUUUUUAUCUCACUGCCUACUCUCUCUUUCUCCUUCUUUCCUGCUGCGUGUGUGUGUGUGUGUUGUGUUUGCGUGUCUUCUCUCUCCCCACCUCCACACGCCUCAUUCCUCCUCCCCCCUCCCCUUUGCUGUUCUCGCUUUUAUCUUUCUGCUCUCUGUCCCCGUCUUCUGCAUUGUUGUGGUCUUUCCUGUGCCUUUGCGUUUUGUUCGCGCGUGCGUAUUUUUUUUUCCGUUGCGUUGCUUGUCUUCGUGUCUUACGCGCUUCUUUGUGCCUCGGUUUUCCCCCUUUUUCUCUCAUUUUUUUGUUGUCGUCUCUGCCGUCGUUGAAACCACUUCUCCGUCUUCGCUCAAUCACCACUACCACCACAGCCCCCGCCCCCUACUCCAUCGUUGACGUCAUAACUAUACAGACAAGGUAGAGUGAGAGCGUGAGGAAGCGACGAUACAAAGUAGAAGCGAAGGUAGCAAGGUGGCCUCGCCCCCCUUCCCAUCAAAAAAAAAAGAACAACAACGUCAACAAGAACAAACCCAGAGAAGACCCGCAAACGUGUUUUCUCUCUAUUUCUUUUUUUGUCUUGUUCGUGGUGGUGGUCGUGCCACGACGUUCUCAUAUUUGUGCGUUUUACUUCUUUGCUGUUUGCCAACUCUCCCUCCCCCCACCCACGACUACGCGGCCCCUUUUUGUGCUCGUGUGCAUUAAACCUUGCUCUUUCUGUGUCUUUUGCGGCAGUGUGAUACCGUCGUCCGCGUCUACGUUUUUCUUUUUUCUUUUCAUCGUGUUCAGCCUCCCCCCGUAACGACACGCUCACUUACGCAAACAUGUUCUCCCCCGUGUAUGAAGAUGUGUCAGGCCUCUUCGGCCACCCCAUGCCCAUCUCCGGCUUUGGCCCAUCGGCAGAGCUGCAGUUUCCACAGACAAACUACAUCACCACCACAAACGCGCCGCAGACACCAACUCAGCAGCAACAGCAGCAGCUCGCUGGACGUGCUACAGUCUACUCGUUGGUGGAUGCGUCCGGUGUGCAGCUGCACCGUCAGGCUGCGCCGCCGCAGCAAAUUCCGAUGAGCGGCGUGCCGUUCGGCGCCUUCGAUGGCGCUUCCAUUGUUCCAUAUGAGGUCUUCAUGCAGCAUCAUCAGCAGCAGCAGCAACUCGCGGCUGCCGGCAAGCCCACUGCUGUCCACGGGCAGGAUGGCGUAAAGUAUUACCUGUCCUCUUCUACAGGUGCGCCGGUGAUGGCUUCCGCUGGCCCUGCAGCGGCAACACAGGCCAACAUCAUGCAGAUGCAGCAGCACGGUGCCACUCUCUACGCUCUCGAGUCGAAUGGCACCACCACGGCGCUGACCUCAACGCCGCCUGCCGGUGGUCUCUUCUCAGGUGCAGCAGCAGCGAACGUUGCCCCGCCGUCUGGAGAGUACCCGUUCUACGCAGCAGCGACCGGAUUCUUGAGCAGCGGCCCGCUCGGUAUGGCACCGGCAACUGUCGGCGGCUCCUCGGCAACCCCUUAUGCGAUACAGGGCCACAUGCCGAGUGCCUCGCCGCGCGCCCGCGGCGCUGUCAACAGCUCCCCUGCUGCGAUUGCAGGCAACCAGCACCACUCCAACAGCGGCAACAACAGCAGCGCGUCCACCCGCCGCGAGAACCAGGCCACGCUUCAGGAGAUGCUAACGACCAAGACGACGCUUGAGGUGUUCGACCCCGACUUUAAGUUAAUCUACAAUGUGCCAACGAACUGUGUGGUUCACUUGCCACCUGCGCGGCUGAACAUCACCCGCCUUGUGCUGUGCCGCAACUACCGCCCGCAUGAGCCGCAGAGCUGCGCGAUGGGAAGCAGCUGCAAGUUUGUGCACGCGGACUGCAACUACACGAAGCUUGAGGCGCACCCGAUUCACGUGAACUACAUCUGGCGCCACGAGACUCUCUGCACGUACCCGCGCAUGCCGGCCGGCGAGAGGCUGGAGGUGGUCCAGCCGGACGGUCAUAGCAUUGCCAUUCCCUCCGAGAGGAUUCUCUUGACGGCGGGCGCGGCAGCACACGCAGAGGCGGGAAAGACGACGCUGACGUGCUGCGACAGCUACGAAAACAGUGGCAUGUGCAACUGCGGCGAGCGCUGCAACUUCAUUCACGCAGUGCACGUGGACCCGAACGUGCAGGGCGACUUCAAGCGCGCACCUCGUAAGCGAGAUGGGCAAAGCAACAGCAACAACAAUAACAAUACCAGCAGCACUUCGAACCACACGAUUCAGUGCAACCAUCACAACGGCAGCAGCGGCGCCAGCAACGGUGGGGCGAGCGGGCGGGCGCAACGGAGUGGCAGCUCCCUCACCCUGGAACAGCUGCCGCAGCGCCGCCAGACCAAUUCUCCCGACACGGUGAACAGCAGCUCCAGCAAUGCCACAAAUGCGACCGUGCUGAACGGCGCGAAGCCCAACAAGGCGACGCCCACCCCAGUCGAGGGGAUCUUGAACACGUCCGCGUCUGCAAAGCUGCAGGAGGCCGUGGCGCAGCAGCUGCACGCAGCGGGGAGCAUGAACAUGCACUCGGUGACUCCGUCGUUCUCCAUCUCGCUCACGCCCUUUGCCAUCCAGACAAUGGCGAGCUCUCAGUCGCUCGGGACGCUUUUGUAUCUGCCGCGCGGGGCUUCGGAGGCCACGGUGCUCGGGCCCGUCGGUGCCGGCGAGAUGUCGCAGUCGUCUCCUUGAGGUCACCCAACGCGCAACAGCGGCUUGCGCGUGACUCGAAGCGCGACACAGUGGCAUCCAUCUCCUCGUGGCGCGCGCGACCUACGUGAUUCUACCCGUUGUCCGCGCCAUUCCGUGGCUUGGUGUUGGUCUUUGCCCCGCUCUUUGGACUUUUAUGUUUUCGUGUUUGUGUCGCCGUCAUGCACGACACAAGCAGAAAGGAACUCGCCCGCGUUUUUUCUUUAUGUAUUUAUACAUGUUUUAUCUUUUUUUUUGAUCCCCUGCAUGUGUGCGUUUCUUUUACUUGUCUGUUUCUCUUUAGCUGUCUGAGCGAACCCAAGGGGAUUCCAUGCGCAGCUACUGCGCACUGUGCGCAAGGAGGUGGUGGCGCACGCCAACGGCGCGAUGUGCCGCGGAGAAGGGAUGAGGCGGACAACUGUUGCUGCCGCUCCCGCUGCAUUUUCUUUUUCUUCCCUUUUCUUCUCUGUCCAUAGUGCUUUUUCUGUGAGUUCGGCAACGCGCGAGGUGAACGAUGCUCACGAAGCGCUGCAAAACCGCAAAGGCAGCGGAGAUGAGGCCAGAGAAAAGGAAGAGAGAAAAAAUGGAACGCACGCGCACACAAACACACACACACACACGCAUUGUCGUCGCUGAGUGCACAUGUACCAGACGAGCAAAACGAAAAGCAAAGGAGCCAAUAAACCCAACACGAGCAACAACAACGAUAGCAGGAAAGAAGCGUGCGACAGAAAUCCACAGCGCAUGCUGUAUGCGGGCUCCCUAAACAAGAGCGAAGAAAAAAAAAGUAAGCGGGCACCGAUGCCUGGUGCGCAAAUACAGGCACCCCCUCCCACAGAGAAGGUACGGAAAAGAGAGAGGAAAAAAGGGCGGAAGGAAAGGGGACAAAGAGACGGCAACAACGUUCCCGUUGUCUUCUCUCCACCUCCUGCGCCUCUAUAUUCGUUUAUCGCGGCGGAUUUGCGUGUUGUCGUCUCUCUGAUGUGAGCGGACGCGCUGAUUUCACCGCUAUCACGCGUCAUCUUUUGUGCUUCGAGUGCAUGUUGCGACAUCCUUCCUUGAUGAUUUUUUUUUCCGCUUGUCCUUGUGUGCCCUUUGCAAUCUUUACUUGCGCGUGAAGAACACGAGGAAGCCGUUCGAAGCCUUUUUUCUCCUCUAAUACAUACACACACACACACGUGCACAUGCGAGCAUACGCAUAAGCUUCUCUGUCUCCACCCAGGGUUCCUUCUCGCUAUUUGUUUUCUUGAUAUGUUGCGUGUUUUUUUCUUCGAUUCAUGUCUUACCAUGCUUCUGCACGCGUCUUUUCCUUGCUGUUUUCUCUUUCUUUGGUUAUCAACUCACAUAUGUGAUUGUUAUUCUCCGGCUUUUUGUGUUUCUUCUUUUUCGUUGUUUCGUUGCACAACCAUGGAUGUCAGCUGCAUCCGUGCUUGUGUGUAGAUGUGUGUUGGUGCACGUAGUGGUGUAUGUGCCUGUAUGUCUGUGAUUGUAUCAGCUGCGUAUGUGUGCGUGCUGGGUAGGUUACCCGAGGAGUGCACGCCCGCCUCUACUCGUCUGACUGUCUCUCGCCAUCCUUCUUUUCGUACUCUUACACGCAUACUCGUCGCAUUCACAACAGCCUAUAGGGGUUGCUAUCCCUUCUUGCGUUUGUUUUGUGUUUGCUGUCGCUGCUGUUUUGACUCUCACUUUUUUGGUGUUUCCUGUGAUGGGCUUUGCCCUCCUCACCCCCUUCCCCUCCUCUCUGCGCCCAACACCCGUCGGCUGCGUUGGCGCGCACUCAGAUAUCUCACCUCUCCCCUCUUCACUCGAUCUCGUCCCGCGUCGCCGAAGCUUCCGCCUUGCACUCGUCGUGCCGUCUCUUGUCGAUCUUGUUUUCUUCUUUGAAUGCGUCUGCCGUCAAGCGGCAAAAAACACGUGCUCAUACGCACGCCCUUGAAAAAAGGGUCGGGGAAGCGUAGGCCAAUCCCGCUCGUGCGCGCGCUAAACCGGAGACGUGAAACUCACCAGUAUGGUAGAGGACUUUCGAGCGAGUGUAGGCGAGAGCUUUAUUUGCAUGGGGCAGGAGAAUUCUGCAAGGAAAAACAAUACGAUACGAAAGAAAAGGUGAUGAGGAGGGUGGGAUCAAUAAGUUAUGAUCGAUGUACAUAUAUGUCUCUCUCCGUGCGCGCGUCCGGGUAGCUCGAGCAGCUUGUAUGCCCGCAUUGCCUGCUCGCAUUUCUUCGUUUCUAUCUGUGCCUUUUCGCGUGUGCACAUCGUCACCAUCAGUCACCGUUAAGUUUUUUUUUUCGCUCGUCCUCCCUUUCUGUCUUUCACUUCCGAGUCUCCUCCUCCCUCCUCCCUACCCCGAUUACCACGGCUUCUCGUUUUUCUGCUCUGUCUCUCUAUUUGGUGUACUUGUCGGGCUCUCUUUUCUUUUCACUUGCUUCCUCUCUUUUUUUUUGUGUGUGCGUUUUAUUUGGCCUCAUCAUUACAAAUCAAAAAAAAAAAAAAGAAUGCACAUGCACGCACCGGUCCCGAGAAAAAAAAAACACAGAAAUGGAGGCGUGCAACAGGAUCUCUGUGCCUUGCGGGUGCGAGUGCUCGUGUUUUUUUUUAUCGCGCAUUUCUUCUCUACACUCUCUCCUUUCUUUUUCGUUGCUAGUUGUGUGGGUGGGUCUCCCUCUUUUUAUUCUCUGUUGUUUUCUCUUCCGUGUUUUGCUUUCCAGGCUACUUCUCCCUCCCUCUUUCCCUUUCGAGUUGUAUAUCUGCGUGCCUGCGUGUUUUUUUUUUUGGAUGUGCGUGUCUGUGUUUGCUCCCCAUUUUGCCGUUGAUUUUGCGUCUUUCCUUUUCCUGUCUCUGCCUGCCGCGUCUUGCUUCCUAGCACAGAGCAAAGGUGCGUCGCCUCUCAUCGAUUCACCCCUUUCCUCUCGGGUUUUCGCUGUGUUCUGGUUGUGUAUGUGGCCUCUUUCUGCGUUGCCGCCUCUCCCUGCUGUGCCCUUCUCAUUGGAUGUGUGCGACGAUGUCCAUGGUCUCAUUUUUUUUGUUUGUUGUCCGUCUCGUGUCCGUCUUCUUCCUCUCCGCUUUCCCCCUACUCUUCGUUAUUAUUAUUAUUUGGUGCUCUUUUCUUUGUUUUACAUGUAUUGUUUUUUUUUUCCUUUCGUGUUUGCUCUGAGCGCACCAUCGGCAGCGCAAGUGACAUUGCCAUCAGCUGCAGCAAUGACACACCAACCCACAUCUCUCUCUAUCGAUAUAUGCGCACACGCGCGUACAACCAUGGCCAGGGAUGACAAGGGCUCUGUGGCUCAAGGUAGCAGGGAUGCGUCGCGCUUAUCCGCUUCUGCUGUUUCCUUGUCAUAUAUAUAUAUAUAUGCGUGUGUGCGUGUGUGCGUUUGUGUGUUUUCGCUCUUUUUUUUGAGCGUGCGUUGCCGUGUUUGCGCUUUGUUGUCAUUCGCAGGGGCCCGUCGACAGAAGCCUCAAAACACACACACGCGCACACGCACACGACAACAACAACAACGAAAAAGACGUGGCCCUCUCCAUCUGUGUACGGUGACUAUGCCCACGCACAAGAGGGAACGGAGAGCGUUGAGAACGAAGUUCGAAACCGCGAGAGCAGCGGUGGACAUGUGAGUGCAUAUGCGCAACGCAGAAAAAAAAGGAAAAGCGAGACAGAGAAUAAACGCAGAACUAUAAGUGAGAAGCGAGUGAGAGCCGAUACAUGAUCUGGUGCUUUCUUCCCCUUGCACGUGCGGCCUCCGUUUUACUUCAACUCUUUUCUGUGCGUUUUAUCUCCGUCUGCUCUUUCGCGCGGCUGUUAUAUACGUAUAUGUAUAUAUAUGUAUGUAUACAGUGGUAUCAUUGCAUACGUAUGUCUCACGUAUUUCUCUGAGAAGGGGAAUGGAGAAAAUGACGAGUGGAUCAGCACACACGACGGCCCGAAAAUGUUUUUUUUUUUUCGUCGUUUCAUGUUUUCUUUGUCUUUCUCUGUUGCCCUCGGCGUGUGUUCGUUUCGCUUUGCGUCGCUCCUUUCUGACGGUGUCAAGAUGCUGCCACGCUGCAUCUACACGUGUGCGCUGAUGCGUGUACUUGUGUGCGGCUCGAAGGCGUCGACAACGCACUAACAAAAAAAAAGAAACGAAAGCAGGGCCUUUGCAUCGUUGCCAAGAGCGGAAAGGAGAGGUGGAUGAAUCGGGAAGACAGAGAGCACCCAGGCCACACGCAAGAAGCCCAAACAGAGCUGGGCAAGGGGAUGCUAGAUGCCAAUGGAGGAUCAAAAACAAAAAAGGAAGGCAACUUCACAGACCCAGUAGACGCAAGAAUUGAAAAGAAGCGUGUGCGGCUGACGCUGCCUGCGUGCGCGUUCGUUUUCCCCACUUUUCGUGCGUUUGUAUUUUUGCUUCGAGCCUACACGCGCAUCGUCAUCACAUACAUAAACAUGCACACAUAUCCAGAGACACGUCAACGACAACAUUGAGAAUGGAUGCGUGCUCAUGAGCACCAUUAUCUUAAUUGCUGUGUUUUGGUCUCUCGUUUGUGCUUUGUAGACAUUCGCAUGGAGUAGGAGGGCGGAGGGGAUGCACUGCUUUUAUUGCUCGCCGACAAGUUCUUCUUGCCCUUUGGGCGGGUUACUGUACGCUGCAUUUUUUUUCGUUUACACUGCCCUUCUGUCUCCCCUCCCUAUCUACUAAUAUAUAAAUAUAUAUUACUUCCCCCCUUUUUAUGCCUACUCGCUUACCGGCCGUGAAGGGGAGGCGUGGAUUUGUGUAUGUGAAUGCCAGUGGCGAGUGGGCGGCGACCUUAUGUGUGCAGGUAGUUUGUUCUCAUGGAAUUCCUUCUCUUUUUCGUUUCGCGCUGCUGCUUCUGGUGUUCCUGGGGCGUGCGAAAGAGGAGAGAGAGAGGAGUGUGUGCAUAUGCCGCACGGGCGUAACUCAAACUUUAUUUUUCUCCCGUCCCUCAACAACAAAACUAUACGCGCACACACGCCCUGCACCGUGGCUCAUUCCCAACCCAAAGGCAGCUCACUAGGGAAAGGGAGGGAAGCAAACAAGCUGUUCAGGGAGAGCAGCGCACCGAUCGCACUACGAUCUCUUUCUCCGCCUUGUCUGCUGCUGUCUUUUUUUUUUAUUUUCACAUUUUUGUUAUCCCCCUUCCCCACCCUAAUGUGUGCCGCUCCUCCGAGCAUCUCGUCUGCUCCCUGUUUCGCGCUGUCGUGCUGUCAGCUUAUGCUGCGUGUGUCUCUAGCUUGGCUUUUCCUUUUCGCGCCUUUUCCCCUUCCUCUCUUGACGGGUGCCAUACGCUCAGUACAGAACAAUAACAGAAAUGCGUUGGAAAAAAAAUAUACAUAUUUAUAAUGGCGUCUCACGCUUCCACUGACAUGUCUUUCGUUCAUUUUGUUUGCCUUUCAUUUUUUUUCUUGCUUAGUCUUGUCCUCCCCCCUCCCCUCUCUGUGUGCGUGAGUGCGUGUGGCUUCCUCUCUCCGUGUUGUUUCUCUGCUUCUUUUGGACCGUUUCUUCUUUUGGUUUCAAGUGCAUUUUUUGUUCUCUCCGAAUCUCUCUCUCUCUCCUCAUUGCAUGAGCGCUGUGUGAUGCGCGCGGGGCCUGUGUAUCCACUUCAGAGCCGCUUCCCUCUCUGCCUUUGCUUCUCUUUGCUUACCUCGCCCCCCCCCCUCUCAUCCCCUUGCCGCCCUGUAUUUCUUCUCAUUUUUCGGAUUUCGGGUCUUCCGUUCACUCUGGUUAUGUAGGUUUCUAUGGGUGUCGUUCUCUUCACAAUUUUGCUAUUUCCCUUCCCUCCCCUUCUUCCGCCGCCUCCGCCUCCAUGGUGCCCGUGAGCGCGUGUGCGUGUCGGAUGGAGCUGUGCCUGUCUGUGCUGAUUGAUAUCUUCUUAUUUUUUGAUUUAUCCUUUUCAGCUCGUCUCUCGCGUCUCUCCUUUUUUUUUUUGCUCCUUGUAGAGCGCUCGCGAGCACGCACGUGUGCUUACGUGUGAGCUGUGAUAAGAAGAAGUGCCUUGUUUUCGAAUUUUAUGUUUCCUCGUCUUCUCUUUCCCUCACCCGCCCCCUCCCCUAUCUCACACAUGUUCUCGUGCUUCCUUUUCUUUUCGCUGCGAUCGUGGUGCGCUUUUUUCUCUCUGCUUGCGUGAUUCAGUGUGUGCGUGUGCGUGUGUGCUGAGUGCUGUGGGCCCUAUCACUGUUCUCACGGCAUUUUUUCCUUGAUGUUUUUUCUCUUGACGGAAUCGCUUGUAUGUCUGCCUAUUGGAGUGAAGCGGCUCGGAGAAACACGACGCGCCACCAAGCAGCACCACCAGCACCAGUGACCGAGAAAAAAAAAGAGAGGGCAAUCAGCAGGCGCGCUGCAUCUUCAGCGCAUACAAACAUACACACACACACACACACACGAAGAGCAACAAGCGAAGCAGCGAGGCGAGAGCACUGCGGUCGAGGCGAGAGGAGAAGGGGAGGGUGUCACCGAGGCACCCUGCAGUAGACCAGGCUCUCAAGAGCGUCAUUAAGAGGGCAUCUUUUACAUUUCGCCGCCUCCCUCCUCCUCCCCCUUCGUGGCUGCCGUGCACACGAGUACUCGCACACGUACCCAGGACACGCGCACGCACGCCGCCGGGUGGGAUGGUGGUGGUGGUGGUGGUGGGGGGCGCGGGGCGGCGACGAGGCGAUCUAGAAGGGCGUGAGGCCUCGAACUUUGUCAUUGAAACGACGAAAGGGCGCUUUUCGCUCUCAUCUUCCUAUUCCCUUACCUCCCCUGUUCAUGCAUGUGUGCUUUUCACACUUUCGUUUUACUUUCUCUUUCGCACCUGAGGCAGUGAAGGCAUGAAGUGCACGUUCCAAGUGCAUUUUUGUGGCUCGCUGGCUUGGCUUCCACUGGAUGGGGGCAGGGCAGACUGCCACGUCUGUCUCUCUCUCCCUCUCCCCCUUCUUUUUGUGUGUCCCGUGCUGCUACUGCUGCUCAUGUUGCUUUCGCUUUACGUGUUCUGAUGCUCUGCCGUGAUCUCUCUUCUUCACCUUCCUCUCCGUCACGUUAAUCAAACCCAACCGCUGAUUUCAUCUGUUGCUCUCUCUUUUUUUUGUUUGUCUUCGUACUUUCCACACUUCGGCGCCGAACCUUUUUCUCGUUUUUUUUUUGUUUCCUCGUUACACACCACCAUGAAGGGAGGGUGCACGUGGUUUAUGUAUGUAUCCGCCUACUCUUUUCACUUGUGCUUUCUCUGCCUCCCCCCUCUCUCCCUCUCCCUCUCUCCCUCUCCCUCUCCCUCUCUUUGUGAGCAUGUGUGUCUUGUUCUCCUGUCUCCGUCUUGUAUUUCUUGUGCACACGUUCGAACAUGCUUUCUCACCCCUCCCUGUCUGCCUUUCUCUCGUCACGAGGUGUAAGUGUACCUGUGUAGCUCCUCUCAGUCACACACACACACACACACACACACACACACACACACACGAUUAUGCCACCCUGUGUCAGUGUUGCCCUUGCCCCUCUUCAGCGGAUCCUGCGAUCUCCCGCCCCGUCCUCUUCUGUCCGUCUUUGUCUUUUCCAUAAACAGGGUGCACCACUGGCUGCAGUAUUCGCAAACGUGUGUUCUUCUCUCUCCGUUGAUACUGAUGUACAGGCGUAUGGAGAGGGCGUAUGACCACCCCCCUCCGUGAUUGCUUGCCUUCUUGUUUUUCUCCCUAUUUUUUUUUUCGCUAUCACGCACACGCACACACUUUUUCAUCGUCUUCUCAAGUUUUCGUUCCUUUACGUUGCUGGAGACGACCCGUUGGCCCUCGUCGCUCUUCCUGUGGUGGCCGUGGAUAUGAAACAUAAAAAAUGUUGUUGGUCUCACGUCUUCUCUGGCCCACCUCUCUGUCUUGUUGCUGCUUUCUCUCUCUGUGGUCAGCCUAUGAUUUUGUCUCCGUUUUCUUGUGGGCUGCGCCGGUGUGCUUUCUUUCUUUUGCUGUAUUAUCGUGAGUACAAUACACACACACGCGCCCAUCCCCUCCCUCCCUCCCAAAAAAAAAAGAAACGAACGACACCAAAAUGUCGAGUGGGCCGUGCGCUUAGUUCGUGUGCAUAGACCUUAUCGCUGUCGGCCGGCGAUUCCUCUUUUUUUUUUCGUUGUUGUACAUAUGAAUACUGUAGAUACAUCUAUAUGCAUCUAUGUAUAUAUAUAUCGAUCUAUACUUUUGCCAAGGAUGGUUCUCUUUCUUUCUCGGUGUAGGUCUUGCUGCUUCCGUGUUGGUGCUUUUUCUUCUCCGUCCUCUACUUCUUCUGCCCUCUCAUGCUCAUGCGUUUGUAGGCGGGCGCCUCUCACUCACCCUCUCACUGUGCUCCAUCUCUUGUCUCUUCCUGUCUUUCUUGCACGCGUUUUUUUUUGUCACUUUUCACUAUGGCGAACGACUCGCCCCCCUCCCCCUCUUUCUCGAAGGCACUGCCCACGUGCCCUUCCUUUUCUUCGAUGUGCGUGUGUGCGCUUUCCACCUCCAAAUCCCGUUGCUUUCUUCUUACCUCGUCUCCGUCGCGCGAUGCGUUACUUGGCUUUUUGGCUUGCUUUCCCUUCUCCCGCUCCCGUCGUCUCAUCGUGUCUCUCUCUCUCUGCAGCAAGCGCCGUAGCGUCUUUUUGUCUUGCGGGUUUCUGUUACGUUGACGUUUUAUUAUUAUUAUUUUUUUUUCUUUGUGUGUGUGUUCUGCGCGUUGCUGCUUCCAACCGGUCCUCUCUCACUGCUGACCUGCCGCCCCUCCCUUCCUUUGCAGCGCGUAUGUGCCGCUGCUUGUGUGUCCGCCGUGCGUGGCGGUGCUCUCUGGUGUCAGUGCCCCCGCACCUUCUUACUCCCUCUUCGCUGGCGCUCAUCCUUGCCUUGUCCCGUGCGCACGAACCGACAUCAAGCGGCAGCGGCUGCUCCGAACAGAAUAAUAAUGCCGGAUGAGCAAAAAGCAAAGAAAAAACGAAAAACAAAGGAAAAGACGAGGGAGGGGGAGGCGCUCUCACACGCGUUAGCACGUGGGACACGCCCACUUUUUAAAUAAUAAAAAAACGGCAUCCGCGCAUUCACUGAAGCCCGGCGACACACUUACACUCACGCACACACGCGCGAGACACGGUCGUAGGCAGGUACACACACACACACACACACACACACACACACACCUUCUUCGUGGUGGUGAUGGCCCAGGCGCAUGCCUACUUUUCCGGAGAGCCCUUUUUUUUCUCUUUCACCAUCUUUGCAGAUCUCACCGGUAUUUUGUCUGAUGAGAAACGAAAGGUGGAGAGCGUUAGUGAGCGAAGAACAUAAUAAAAGAAACGAAGUCAGGCCGAGGGCGGCAGCACGGAAACUUCGAAAAUCUGUAUAUGUACAAACAGAAAAGCUGCCACAGAGGAGAGGUGCGCAGGCCGUAGUGCUGCGUUGACCUACCCCUCUUUUUCCCUUUUUUCCUCGUGCCCACUGUAUCGUGCUGACAGGAAAGUAAGCGAAUGGGGCGAGGACAAGGACUUCAAUGUGGAUGCACAUACGUACCCACGCAACGGCUCGCGCCGUUGGUUGACUUGAACAAGAGUGAGCUUACAAGCAGACAAGCACGGGCGCGCGCUCACACGAUGCGCGGAGGAUAUGUAAAGCCGACACGGCGAAGAAGAAAGAAAACAAAAUAGGCUGUCCUUUAGCAGGAAAGAGAGUUUGAGACACGCCGCGAGAGGCGGGAGGUGGAGGCGAGGCCCCAGGUGCGCCCCCCGACUAACCAGGCAAAAGAUGCACGACGCGCGUAGUAUGUGGCGAUGCAUGUAUGCAUGCCUCUCUCUCGUGCUCUCCCACUUGCCCGCGAGCUUGUGUGUGCUUAUCUCUUUGUCGUCUUCGUACUCUCGCUGGAUGGUCGGUCUCCUGCUCAGGCCUAUCGUAAAGCGUACGUACGCCUCCAUGUACGGGCUUUUACUCGGUUUCUCGUGCUGUACCCCCCCCGUCUCGCGUUUUUUUUUUGCGCACCGCCCCUCUCUCUCGCUCUUUGUGUCUGUUCUUCUCCUUCUUCCCGUGUGUGUGCUGCAUUCAUGACGCGCCUUUUUUUUUGAGCUCUCUUCCUCCUCCCAUCAGCGCACUCUCCCUUCUUUUUGUUGGUUGGUGUCUCGUGCACUACACACUGCACGAGUGCCUCAUGCUAUGCGCUGUACGCGUGUUCUCUGGAUAUGUGCAUAUACACACAUAUAUAUAUAUGCAUGUGUGUAUGUGUACGUAUGUGUGUGUGCGUGCUUGGUAUUUGUGCCGUUGUAUUGUUUAUUUUGUUUCGCUUUUUAUUCGCCGAUUUUUUGCCCUUUUCUUUCAUUCUCUGCACCUUCUUUCCUUCCUCCGCCCUUCCCUUCCCUCUUUGAUCGAAUUUUUUUGAUACGUGGCCCUUGAGUCUGUGCCGUCCAAGUCCUUUGCCAGAGCCUCGUGUCUUUCUCUCUUCUGUACCGACUCUUCCUGCAAGCACAGGUAACGUUGCUGCAUACAAGAGAUUCGUCUGCUUGCCCUGCCUUCCUUCUUUUCUUUGCCCCCUUCAAAACUACCCUCUUGCUGUACGCUUUUCUUUCACCAUCUCUGUCUCUCUUUCUGUAAAGCUGCAUGGCAAUCACAUUUGUUUUUCCCCUCACUUCAUGUCGCGCUCUCCGUCAUGCCAAACUUCCUUCUGCAGGUGCGCAAACAACUUUCCCCUCCUUUUUUGUUUACUUCUGUGCGUGCGUGUGUCUGCGUGAGCGUUGCACUAUACACAGGCACACACGCCUUUCUCAUCCGUCUCUUUAUUCGUUUCCCUUUCUCUCUCUCUCGCUCGCUUUAUCUCCUUUCCGUUUUUUUUUCUUGUGCUAAACACCCGCUCGCAAGACGAAAAAGAGGCGAAACAACAACAAUAAACAAACAAGGUGAAAAAAAAAACAGGACAGAGUAGUAUCAGAGGACGUAUCAACUAUGUGUGUGUGCGUGUCGGCCGGCCUGUCUGUGCGGGAGAGGCCUCUCCUUUUCCACGUUCUUGUCUGUUUUUCGGUGCCGCUCAAUCAUCUAGCAAAUGAAGGGUAUGGCUUUGUUUCUGUUUUUUUUUUGUUUCUUGUGUUUUGGGUUAACGCUCUCCUUGUCCUUCCCUGCUGAUGGCACUUCUUGUGCCUUUGUAUGUACACACACGUGCAUGUGAAGCUCAUCGUCCUCCCUGCUCUCCCCCUCCUUUUCCUUUUGCUUGUGUUGUCAACCGCACGCCCAUGCUGAGGCCGGCUCUGAGGGUGCCAAUGGGGCUAUCGCGCACCAGUUAGUCUAUGCAUACAUCUCUGUUGGGGGCUGAAGCAGAUUCCACUGCGAGUUUGAGGCGGUGGGCUCAGGCGUUUUUUUUUCAUGCCUUCUGCUUUUUUGGCGGCCUUGCGCGGCCUUUGCUGGCGCUGCCGCUUCCUACUUUUUGUUCGCUAGUUUCGUCAUGGUUUAGUUUGGUUAAUAUAUUGAACAUGCUCUUUUUUUUCCCGCUCUUGGCUUCGCCCGCGUCGCCUUCUCCUUUCUUUUAUGACUUAUGUUUGUGUUGUCGGUGUGCGCGUGUGCGUUUUCUCUACCAGUUCAGUUCCUCUUCUCUGCCGUAUCUUCAUUUUUUUUUGCUCUCUGCUUUCGUCCUCCUUGCAUUUUGUGUGUAUGCGCGUGUGUGUCUCCGUUCUCUCUCCGUCUCUUCGAUAUGCUACGAAAAGUAGAGCUCUUCCUCCCUCUCUUCAGUCUCUGUCGUGCUUCACUCUUCCCUUUUUUAAAGGUGGUGAUGGCGUGUGUGUGUUUGUGUGUGUGUGUGGGGUCUUUUCCAUGAUGCGUUUCCGCAUGUCAUCGCCGUCGCCAUCGCUGCGAGAGCUUCUUUGUUUUUCUCUUGCGUGUGUGUGUGUGUGCGUAUCGCACUUGAAUGGGCACAACACCUCUCUCCUUCGUUCCCCUUGCCUCCGACCAUCCGACUUUCACUUCACACACACACACAGACACCACUUCGCUACUCUACUUCAGCUCUGUGGUACUGCUGUGAUGUGAUGGCUGCUGUUGUGGCCGUGCCGUCGGCACGCAAAGGAGGUGCUUCGUGAUUCUCUCUCGUCUCAUGCACGUGCUGCCCUUCUCCCCUAUCUGCGGAGAUAACCCCGCUCGCUUCCUUCUUUCUGCCUCCUCGCAUGUUCUCGGCACUUGACCCUCCCCCCUUUUCUGCUCGCGGCCUUUCUUCAACGCCUUUUCGUUGGCUUCAUUAAUAUAUGUGUGUGUAUAUAGACAUGUGGCCCUCAUCUUGUCGUGUUCUUCGCGUCCCGCUGAACGACGUAGUCGUCCCUAUAAGUGACCAAACACGAGAAAAAGACGACACAGGAGCGAGGGGGCGGAUACGGGUGCACGUGCCGUGCCGAGUGCAGCCUUCUAUUUCUGUUUUUCUUUUUUCGAUGGUUGGACGUGCACGCCGUGCCACGACGGGAGAGAGCGAGAGUCUGUACUUCCUUCUUUUUUUUUGCCUUUCGCUCAUCCUUCUUUGCUACAUCUUGCGGCACGCGCGCACAUACGCGUUCUACCUGCAUCCCUCCUCUCUCCCUCCUCCUUCUUUGUUUUUUUUUUGUUGUUCUGAAUUUGCCUCUUCUCAGCUUGCCUUUUGCAGCAUUUUCGUGCUCUCUGUCCUUGCUUUGCCUUCGGUAUGUUAGACACACACACGCGCACACACACACGCACGCACACACGCACGCACACACACACACACACACACACAGACACAGACACACACACACACACACACACACACAGCACGCGUAGCUUUCCUUUCGUCCCAUCUUACGGUCCCUUUAUCGCUCUCGAUUUUUUUUCUUUCUCCGUAUCGCAAAUUUAACGCAAAGAAAAACGAAGGGUUACCAAGUAAGCGAGCCAUGCAUGCAGUCGCUCGUUUUACGUGCCCGUAUGCGUGAGAGUAUUGCGACCCCUUGGUGCCGAUAGCAGAUCUGCUUUUCCUUUUCUUUUUGUCUUUCAGUUCUCUCCUUCCCCGCUUUUUUGCCAUGUGCUGCUGUCGGUGUCGGCGAUGGAAAACAUCUGUUUCGCAUGCAUUCACCGCUUCCACCCGCCCCUCUCCAUCCGUGUUCUUCACUGCACGUGUACGUGCGUCUUUCUGUGCUGCCUGCCACCCCAUCCGGUGCUCUCCCUUCUCUCCGCAUUCCAAUGCGUGCGUGAUGGCACAUGCGUAUGCGUCAGGGGGGCGGAGGACGGCGGGGCGAAAUCAGUGGCGUGACAGUUGUGCACAUGCACGCACACGGGCAAGGCACAGAGUGAGCGCUGCUUACUACCCUCCCGUAGUUUUCGGCGCUUCCUCUUUCUGGAAGCGAACUGUCGACACAAAGUGGCGUUUUCUUCCUUCUUUGGCGACUCUUGUCAUUUUGCGCUCGUGGCUCCAGUGGCGCAUGCAUGUGUGCGCACACAGGAUCUGUGGUGAGGGGAGACAGCUAUGGUGAUGACUGUGAUACGCCUUGCCUUACGACGGAAUAGGUCACAGAGGACUGGUGUCGCACACGACAUACUGUACAUUCUUUGUUUUUCGUCCAUCCACCUGCCUCUCCCCUUUCUUUUUCAGCUACGCUCUGCAACAUCAUGGGCUUGGGGUGCCGCCUUGAUGCCAUUACAGUGGCCGGCGCCUGUCGGUAACGCAUACCUUUCCUUUCCGCCUUUUCCUCUUACACUCCUUCCUGCUUCUUUGCUCUCCCUCUGUUGCGCCACUGUGUACACCUCUGCUCAUCUUAAUCCUUCCCAACUGACACGGCACGCACGCGUGAUACGCGAAACUUAACUCUUCCACCGUCGUACACUUGUUGAUGCGUAAGAGUUGCCUGUGCAUGAGUGUCUGGGAAGCCAAACAGCAACAAAAAGAGUCUAGAUUUUUCAAGCAGCGCAUGCAUGCGUAUGUGUCUGUGUGGUAGAGACUGCGAAAAACAAAAAAAACAAAAAAAACGGAGAGAUGCAGGCAACGGCACCAUCAGGCGUUUGCGAUGACCGCUUCUUUCUUUUUGGUUGAACUUAUUCGGCAUUUUUGUGCUCUUGCGCUCAUUCCGCUCUUCCGCUUGCUUUGGUUGACACCAACAAUUUUUUUCCCGAUUAUACAUUCCCAGUGCGUGUGCCUUCUCCCCUUUUUCCCGUCGUGCUUUGGGUGCUUGUGCGUGUGUGUGCCCACGGGUUUUGCCUGACACAGUGCGUGAGGGGAGUCAUUGUAGAGUUUUUUGUUUUCCCACACUGGCCGCUUGUCUUUGUGUAUGCUGGCGCGCUGCGCCUUUACGUGCGCGUGCACACGCGCACAUAUACGUAUGCAUCUACGUUUCUCUUUCUGUUUUGCUCCAUACAUGCCCUUUAUAGUACCAUUACAGGAGCGCUCCGUCUAGUGCAACCACCGCAGCUGUGGUCUGGUCCGGCGUUGUGCGUCUCCCUCUCUCUCUCGGUGUACUUGUAUCACCGGCACUGGGCACACACACACAUGCAUACACACGCAUUUAUAUAUCUAUACACACAUAUACAUAUAGUACCCGUAGGUGGCUUUACGGAGGUCUAUCUCCAUUUCAAAUCCUUUAAUUGCUCGUCUCUCUGUGUACGUGUGUUCGACUUGCUCUGUCGCCUAGUCGGGCGUCUGCCCCACGCGUGGUUGCUGGACGACAAACACUGACGCACAAACAUGGACGAGCGCGUAUAUAUAUAUAUGCAUAUACAUCUGUCUAUAUGUCUGUGUGUGCGUGUGUGGUUCUGCGCAUCGGCGUAUGCGCGAUAUUGCGUUUGUGUGUGUAUGUGCGUGUGUGUCUAUGUGCUCUUUCCCUAAGACUGGACACCGAAACC
rnacentral:misc_RNA from 1 species